rnacentral:tRNA from 1 species
GGCGGCAUAGCUCAGUUGGUAGAGCAUCCGGCUCAUAUCCGGCAGGUCAUAGGUUCAAGCCCCAUUGCCGCUA